rnacentral:rRNA from 1 species
UACGAAGGGGGCUAGCGUUGCUCGGAAUCACUGGGCGUAAAGCGCACGUAGGCGGCUUUCUAAGUCAGGGGUGAAAUCCUGGAGCUCAACUCCAGAACUGCCUUUGAUACUGAGGAGCUUGAGUCCGGGAGAGGUGAGUGGAACUGCGAGUGUAGAGGUGAAAUUCGUAGAUAUUCGCAAGAACACCGGUGGCGAAGGCGGCGAGCUGGCCUGUACCUGACGCUGAGGCGCGACAGCGUGGGGAGCAAACAGG